GAUGAACGCUGGCGGCGUGCCUAAUACAUGCAAGUCGAGCGAACAGAUGAGAAGCUUGCUUCCCUGAUUUAGCGGCGGACGGGUGAGUAACACGUGGGCAACCUGCCCUACAGAUCGGGAUAACUCAGGGAAACCUGGGCUAAUACCGGAUAAUCCUUCGAAUCACAUGUUUUGAAGUUGAAAGGCGCUUCGGCGUCACUGUAGGAUGGGCCCGCGGUGCAUUAGCUAGUUGGUGGGGUAACGGCCUACCAAGGCAACGAUGCAUAGCCGACCUGAGAGGGUGAUCGGCCACAUUGGGACUGAGACACGGCCCAAACUCCUACGGGAGGCAGCAGUAGGGAAUCUUCCACAAUGGACGAAAGUCUGAUGGAGCAACGCCGCGUGAGUGAUGAAGGUUUUCGGAUCGUAAAACUCUGUUGUAAGGGAAGAACAAGUACGUUAGGAAAUGAACGUACCUUGACGGUACCUUAUUAGAAAGCCACGGCUAACUACGUGCCAGCCGCCGCAGUAA
rnacentral:rRNA from 1 species